rnacentral:tRNA from 2 species
GCGGAAAUAGCUCAGUUGGUAGAGCGCAACCUUGCCAAGGUUGAGGUCGCGGGUUCGAGUCCCGUUUUCCGCU